GGGGUUGUGGCUCAGAGGUAGAGCACUUGCCUAGCAUGUGUGAGGCCCUGGGUUCCAUACUCAGCACCUCA
rnacentral:tRNA from 1 species